AUUUAAGUGAAUAGCUUGGCUAUCUCACUUCCCCUCGUUCUCUUGCAGAACUUUGAUUUUAACGAACUUAAAUAAAAGCCCUGUUGUUUAGCGUAUUGUUGCACUUGUCUGGUGGGAUUGUGGCAUUAAUUUGCCUGCUCAUCUAGGCAGUGGACAUAUGCUCAACACUGGGUAUAAUUCUAAUUGAAUACUAUUUUUCAGUUAGAGCGUCGUGUCUCUUGUACGUCUCGGUCACAAUACACGGUUUCGUCCGGUGCGUGGCAAUUCGGGGCACAUCAUGUCUUUCGUGGCUGGUGUGAC
rfam:Betacoronavirus England 1, complete genome